rnacentral:rRNA from 1 species
UACGUAGGUGGCAAGCGUUGUCCGGAAUUAUUGGGCGUAAAGCGCGCGCAGGCGGUCCUUUAAGUCUGAUGUGAAAGCCCACGGCUCAACCGUGGAGGGUCAUUGGAAACUGGGGGACUUGAGUGCAGAAGAGGAAAGCGGAAUUCCACGUGUAGCGGUGAAAUGCGUAGAGAUGUGGAGGAACACCAGUGGCGAAGGCGACUUACUGGACACAUACUGACGCUGAGGUGCGAAAGCGUGGGGAGCAAACAGG